GCAGAUCGUUCUGAACAUAUGGCCAAGCCUUCUGGUCAAUAAACUUCUUAACAGCAACAAUUUCCUUGGCUGACUCCUUUGCCCUUUGUGCUGCCUCAGUAGGGGACAAUGGUUGCAGGAAAAACCUUUCUUUCAGUGGCAGCUCAAGGUCUCUUGCUUCAUCUGAGUUCAGUGUUCCAGCUGCCAAACACCCACCAUGGUUGUUAUUAUUAUCUCCAAAUUCCAUUCUUUAUUUCACUAAUUCCAAGUUAACAACAAGCCCAUCACAGUUUUUUCUUUUUCAAUCUUUGCUUCUAAAACAUUAUAUAAGAAAUGAAAUUGACUAAAAAUCAGACCCAUUUCUACCUCAAAACUUUCGGAUUUGGAUUUCAUGCGGUAAAAAAUCCCUAAAGUCACCGCAAUCACAACAUUAUAAUCGUCUGAUGAUCAUACUGUACAGACAGUUCAAAUUUAAAGAGAUCAAUUUUAUGAUUGUCAUUUUAAAUCCUAGCCAUCCGAUUUUGAUCUGACGGCUACCAAACAAUGACUGCAGUGACUUUAGGAAAUUUGACAGUAGGGAAUUCAGGUUCAAAACUUUUUCACCCCAAUACUAAUUUCAUCUUCCAUCAUUUAACACCACACCCAUCACUCAUUUUCUGCUUCAGGAAAUCUUGCAUGCUUGAAAAUCCUUCCACAGUUUAUCCUAAAGCCAAUAUCUAUUCUGAGGAGAAGCUCAUUAAAGUAGUUUCUGAGUGCAGAGUUGAUUGAUUACGAAGAAAAACAAAAAAAUAGUCUGAUCCAAACAUGCAAUACUUUAUCACAUCACAUGAACAAAUUAUGAUGUUAGACAAUCUUAGUUAGUUUAAUUCUACAUUCUAGUAAUAAGUUAUUUCGUAUUUGUAUCUAAUACUUUCAUCUAUAGUGCCAACAAUUGUCAUAAAAUUCGGGUUAGGCCUAACUCUACCCAAUGUUCAGGAGUAAUGAUUGCUCUACCCUUUGAAAUGACUAUUCUAACCAUAUCUCGAAUCAACGUGGGACUUCUAAACAAAUUGCAUGAAUAAUAGCUCAUCUCAUCACUGAAUUAUAGCAUGAAAAGAGCAAGAAGAAAGACUUACGGAGACCGCCGGAAAGCGGGGGAGGACCACCAACUUUGAUGGACUUAGCUUCAGCAAGAACAGCUUGAACAAAGGAACCAGUGGCCAAACCAGCAGCAACAAGACCCAUCACUGCCCUGCGGCUAAUCUGUGGCUCAGAAGGAACCUGGUUGGCUCUAACAGUGAGCCUUGUUGAGGACAACCUGCUGUUGCUGCUGCUGCUGCUACUGUGGAUGUUCAAGCGUGUUGAGCCACUUAGUUGGAGGCUUCCUUCCAACACAGCUUGAGAUGAACCACGUAAACCAGCCAUU
rnacentral:lncRNA from 1 species